AUAUGGCAGAUUAUAUGUAAUGGAUUUAAACCCCAUUUAUAA
rnacentral:tRNA from 2 species